rnacentral:rRNA from 1 species
GCAAGUCGAACGGUAGCAGGUACUUCGGUAUGCUGACGAGUGGCGGACGGGUGAGUAACGCGUAGGAAUCUACCUAUCUGUGGGGGAUACCGUUUGGAAACGAACGUUAAUACCGCAUAAUGUCUACGGACUAAAGGUGGCACUUCGGUGCUGUCGCGGAUAGAUGAGCCUGCGUUAGAUUAGCUCGUUGGUGGGGUAAAGGCCUACCAAGGCGACGAUCCCUAGCUGUUCUGAGAGGAUGAUC